GCCGACUUGAGGAUUGACAGAUUGAGAGCUCUUUCUUGAUUUGGUGGUUGGUGGUGCAUGGCCGUUCUUAGUUGGUGGAGCGAUUUGUCUGGUUAAUUCCGAUAACGAACGAGACUCCAGCCUGCUAAUUAGUGCGUUUGUCCACUGCACCUGCGAUGGUGGCGUUGGAUGACACCGCCUGUCACGCAGGGAUAGGCUCUACUCUCUCGCUAGCGGCGCUCCUCUUCUACUACUUCUUCCGCUUGCUCUUGACGAGGAAUUGA
rnacentral:rRNA from 1 species